CUGUCCUACGGGACGCAGCAGUGGGGAAUAUUGGACAAUGGGGGAAACCCUGAUCCAGCGACGCCGCGUGAGUGAAGAAGUAUUUCGGUACGUAAAGCUCUAUCAGCAGGAAAGAAAAUGACGGUACCUGACUAAGAAGCCCCGGCUAACUACGUGCCAGCAGCCGCGGUAAUACGUAGGGGGCAAGCGUUAUCCGGAUUUACUGGGUGUAAAGGGAGCGUAGACGGCAGCGCAAGUCUGGAGUGAAAUGGCGGGGCCCAACGCAGGAACUGCUCUGGAAACUGUGAAGAUGGAGUGAAGGAGAG
rnacentral:rRNA from 1 species